rnacentral:tRNA from 1 species
GGUGAGGUUCCCGAGCGGCCAAAGGGAGCAGACUGUAAAUCUGCCGGCGAUGCCUUCGGAGGUUCGAAUCCUCCCCUCACCA